rnacentral:rRNA from 1 species
CAGCCGCCCGGUAAUACAGAGGGUGCGAGCGUUAAUCGGAUUUACUGGGCGUAAAGCGUGCGUAGGCGGCUUUUUAAGUCGGAUGUGAAAUCCCUGAGCUUAACUUAGGAAUUGCAUUCGAUACUGGGAAGCUAGAGUAUGGGAGAGGAUGGUAGAAUUCCAGGUGUAGCGGUGAAAUGCGUAGAGAUCUGGAGGAAUACCGAUGGCGAAGGCAGCCAUCUGGCCUAAUACUGACGCUGAGGUACGAAAGCAUGGGGAGCAAACAGGAUUAGAGACCCCUGUAGUCCCUGUCUCUUAUACC